rnacentral:rRNA from 1 species
AGAAUCAACGCUGGCGGCGUGCCUCAGACAUGCAAGUCGAACGCGAAAGUCCCCUUCGGGGGCAAGUAGAAUGGCGCACGGGUGAGUAACACGUAGGUAAUCUACCUUUGGAUGGGGAAUAACAACCGGAAACGGUUGCUAAUACCGCAUAAUGCAGCGGCACCUAAUGGUGACAGUUGUUAAAGCGGGGGAUCGAAAGACCUCGCGUCUGAAGAGGAGCCUGCGGCGGAUUAGCUGGUUGGUAGGGUAACGGCCUACCAAGGCUACGAUCCGUA